GACGAACGCUGGCGGCGCGCCUAACACAUGCAAGUCGAACGGAAGUGUUCAAUCGGAAGUUUUCGGAUGGAAGAAUGGACAGUUUAGUGGCGAACGGGUGAGUAACGCGUGAGUAACCUGCCCUUCAGAGGGGGACAACAGUUGGAAACGACUGCUAAUACCGCAUAAGCCCACGGUACCACAUGGUACAGUGAGAAAAGGNGAAAUCCGCUGAAAGAUGGACUCGCGUCUGAUUAGAUAGUUGGUGGGGUAACGGCCUACCAAGUCGACGAUCAGUAGCCGGACUGAGAGGUUGAACGGCCACAUUGGGACUGAGAGACGGCCCAGACUCCUACGGGAGGCAGCAGUGGGGAAUAUUGCACAAUGGGGGGAACCCUGAUGC
rnacentral:rRNA from 1 species